rnacentral:lncRNA from 1 species
GCAAUUCUCAAACAUGAAUACAACUCACUGCAAUUGAUUCAACAUAAGUUUAAAGAGUCAUCACAUCAAUGGGGUCAUGGAAAGAAAAACUCAUCUAACAUAGUUCAUCAGUUUGAGUAGAGCAAAACAAAAAGAAGAAGAAGGUUGUGGUUGUGGUUGUGGUGUAUUAUUGAAAGCAUAAAUGAAAAAGGAAAUUGAAAAGAAAUUAAACUGUG